rnacentral:antisense_RNA from 1 species
GGGGAGACGCCGGGGGAGGAAGGCAGCCGGGAGAAGGAAAGCUGGGACGGGCCGGGACCACAGGAGCCCCAGCCCCACACAGCAACCACCCGGGCGAGAAAGAAAGAAAGAGCCAGGGAGGCGGGCGAAGCGCGGGGAGAGAAGCAGAGAAGAAAUAUUCACCUUCCCGCCUCAUGCCCACUUUGAGGCACUUCUUGAGGCGGCAGUAUUGGCACUGGUUGCGGUGGUGCUGGUCGAUGGGACAGUUCCUGUUGGCACGGCAUGUGUAAGUUAAGUUCCUGCGGACGCUCCUCUUGAAGAAACUUUUGCAGCCCUCGCAGCAGGUAGAUGAAACUCAAGAGAAAAGGUGUGGAUAAAUGAAACUAGCCCAUGAUGAACCUGUUUUCUCCAUGACCACAAUAUUAACCAGGAUGAUGGCGGUGGCAGUGGGCCUGCAUCACAGGUUGCAGCAGAUGUUCUCAAUAUUUCUAUUAAAAUUUCCUUAUUUCCAUAUGCAAGAGGAGCCCCAGAGCUGCAUCCUUAUGGUAGCUACCAUGCCGUGAUGUAAGCUGCCAUUCACUGGGGAGCUUUGGCAAUAGAAUUGGCUAGAUCAGCAAGCCCAUGUCAACUAUGGAACAACAACUUGCAGCUCAUCUCUAUUGAUG